AUAUGAGAAACUAAAGUCAUUUCCCAUAACUUAAAAGAGGCAUAGAAUAUUUCAAGUUGAAUACAGUUUCUGCCUGGCUUGUUUUCUUCUGCCUCUUUUUUUUAAAGCUCAUCUUUGGGUGAAAAAUUGUCGGGAUCUUCUGCAGUCCAGCUACAACAAACAGCGCUUUGAUCAACCUUUAGAGGCUUCAACCUGGCUGAAGAAUUUCAAAACUACAAAUGAGCGCUUCCUGAACCAGAUAAAAGUUCAAGAGAAGUAUGUCUGGAAUAAGAGAGAAAGCACUGAGAAAGGGAGUCCUCUGGGAGAAGUGGUUGAACAGGGCAUAACACGGGUGAGGAACGCCACAGAUGCAGUUGGAAUUGUGCUGAAAGAG
rnacentral:sRNA from 1 species